AAACCAACCGGGAUUGCCUUAGUAACGGCGAGUGAAGCGGCAAAAGCUCAAAUUUGAAAUCUGGUACCUUUGGUGCCCGAGUUGUAAUUUGGAGAGGGCAACUUUGGGACCGUUCCUUGUCUAUGUUCCUUGGAACAGGACGUCAUAGAGGGUGAGAAUCCCGUGUGGCGAGGAGUGCGGUUCUAUGUAAAGUGCCUUCGAAGAGUCGAGUUGUUUGGGAAUGCAGCUCUAAGUGGGUGGUAAAUUCCAUCUAAAGCUAAAUAUUGGCGAGAGACCGAUAGCGAACAAGUACAGUGAUGGAAAGAUGAAAAGAACUUUGAAAAGAGAGUGAAAAAGUACGUGAAAUUGUUGAAAGGGAAGGGCAUUUGAUCAGACAUGGUGUUUUGCGCCCUCUGCUCCUUGUGGGUAGGGGAAUCUCGCAUUUCACUGGGCCAGCAUCAGUUUUGGUGGCAGGAUAAAUCCGUAGGAAUGUAACUUGCUUCGGGAAGUAUUAUAGCCUGCGGGAAUACUGCCAGCUGGGACUGAGGACUGCGACGUAAGUCAAGGAUGCUGGCAUAAUGGUUAUAUGCCGC
rnacentral:rRNA from 1 species